GAGAUGGAGCUGAGGGGUGUGGAAGGAGCUGAGGAAAUCUCAACGAGGGGAUCCUGGGGCAAGAGUUGGGUAAAAAGGUCAAGACCACAGGUCCCGGCCAGAGGUACCCCUACAGAGGAGAGGACAUGGCUUCUGUAGCUGUCUAAAAGGCUACAUAGGACUGUAUACAAAGAGAGUCAAGUAUUUGCAUAUUUGAAAAAUCAGAGACUCCAAAAUUCUUGUGCAACAAAAGUAGGACAUCAGUCAUAAUCCACCUGGGCACUGGAGAUAUAGGUUGACAAGCAGGUCACAUCACUUUGAGAGGCAGCAAGCAUUUGGUACCUGGUAAUUAGGUGAAAAUCUAGCUUUCGGAGGUUGUAGAUCAUGCAGACAUUAGCAGAGCAGGAAUAAGCAGAGAUCUGG